UACAGAGGGUGCGAGCGUUAAUCGGAAUUACUGGGCGUAAAGCGCGCGUAGGCGGCUUUGCAAGUCGGGUGUGAAAUCCCCAGGCCUACCUGGGAACUGCAUUCGAGACUGCAUGGCUAGAGUAUCGGAGAGGGAAGUGGAAUUUCAGGUGUAGCGGUGAAAUGCGUAGAUAUCUGAAGGAACAUCAGUGGCGAAAGCGACUUCCUGGACGAAUACUGACGCUCAUGUGCGAAAGCGUGGGGAGCAAACAGG
rnacentral:rRNA from 1 species